ensembl:snoRNA
AAGCCAGUCAAUGAAUCUGCUCACCUGACUUAUGUUUCUAUAGAAUUUUUUUAUAACUGGCAAAAGCAAUGGUAUUUUAGGAGCCUUAAUGACACUGAGGUCAUUAAGGCCCCUGAAAGUGGCUAUAUGA